UGGGGAAUAUUGGACAAUGGGCGCAAGCCUGAUCCAGCCAUGCCGCGUGAGUGAUGAAGGUCUUAGGAUUGUAAAGCUCUUUCACCGGAGAAGAUAAUGACGGUAUCCGGAGAAGAAGCCCCGGCUAACUUCGUGCCAGCAGCCGCGGUAAUACGAAGGGGGCUAGCGUUGUUCGGAAUUACUGGGCGUAAAGCGCACGUAGGCGGAUAUUUAAGUCAGGGGUGAAAUCCCAGAGCUCAACUCUGGAACUGCCUUUGAUACUGGGUAUCUAGAGUAUGGAAGAGGUGAGUGGAAUUCCGAGUGUAGAGGUGAAAUUCGUAGAUAUUCGGAGGAACACCAGUGGCGAAGGCGGCUCACUGGUCCAUUACUGACGCUGAGGUGCGAAAGCGUGGGGAGCAAACAGG
rnacentral:rRNA from 1 species